rnacentral:lncRNA from 1 species
GUGUGUGCAGCCUCUUCUCACUGUGGUGGCAUUUGGUCUGGACCUCAGCGUGGGUGAGGAUGUAAAACCCCCCGCUCUGCACAUGCGUGGUCCAGGCCAGCAGGAACCCCCAGCCCCGGCCACCCUCACGCACAUGUCAGCCGUGGAGUAGUGUGGACAUCUCCUCUCAGCUUCUCAGGGUUUCAGUCUUUGGCUUUUCUUCAUUUACUUUGUUUUAUGGUUUUGUGGCUGGACAUUGACAACCAAGUCAGGCACCAUGGGGGAUCAGCAGUUGUACAAGAGCAACCAUGUGACCCACGGUGGUGAGAACCUUUUCUACCAACAGCCACCCCUUGGUGUCCACGGUGGGCUGAACCACAACUAUGGGAAUUCAGUCGCAGCGGGUGGAAUGGAUGCCCCUCAAGCUUCGCCCAUCUCCCCCCACUUUCCUCAAGAUACUCGGGAUGGUCUGAGCUUGCCUGUUAGCUCCAAAAACCUUGGCCAAAUAGAUACCUCGAGACAGGGAGGAUGGGGAGGCCACGCAGGACCUGGUAACCAUGUCCAGCUCCGUGGCAACCUGACCAACUCCAACAUGAUGUGGGGGGCGCCGGCCCAGGUGGAGCCAGCUGAUGGCUAUCAGUACACCUACUCCCAGGCCAGUGAGAUCCGGACCCAGAAGCUCACCAGCGGCGUGUUACACAAGCUGGACUCCUUCACCCAGGUGUUUGCCAACCAAAACCUGCGAAUCCAGGUCAACAACAUGGCCCAGGUGCUGCACACCCAGUCGGCAGUGAUGGAUGGAGCCCCUGACAGUGCCCUCUGCCAGCUGCUGUCUCANNNNNNNNNNNNNNNNNNNNNNNNNNNNNNNNNNNNNNNNNNNNNNNNNNNNNNNNNNNNNNNNNNNNNNNNNNNNNNNNNNNNNNNNNNNNNNNNNNNNNNNNNNNNNNNNNNNNNNNNNNNNNNNNNNNNNNNNNNNNNNNNNNNNNNNNNNNNNNNNNNNNNNNNNNGGUUUCACAGGUGAGCUGUCCAAGCCGGCCCUGCAGGUCGGGCAGCACCCUGCCCAAGGGCACCUGUAUUAUGACUACCAGCAGCCCCUGGGCCAGAUGCCGAUGCAGGGAGGACAGCCGCUGCAGGGCCCCUCGGUGCUGUCCCAGCCCGUGCCACAGAUGCAGCACCAGUAUUAUCCACAGCAGCCACAGCAGCAAGCGGGACAGCAGCGUCUCUCCAUGCAGGAAAUGCAGCCGCAGCCUCCGCAGCAGCUCACCCGCCCGCCUCAGCCUCAGCCUCAGCAGCUGCCGCGGCAAGGUCCAAUGCAGAUACCUCAGUAUUAUCAGCCCCAGCCUAUGAUGCAACACUUGCAAGAGCAGCAGCAGCCAUCGGUGCACCUGCAGCCCCCAUCUUAUCACAGGGACCCCUACCAGUACACCCCGGAGCAGGCACACGCAGUCCAGCUGAUUCAGCUGGGCUCCAUGGCCCCCUACUACUACCAGGAGCCCCAACAGCCCUACAGCCAUCCCCUCUACCAGCAGAGCCACCUGGCCCAGCACCAGCCGCGUGAAGACAGUCAGCUGAAGACUUACUCCAGCGACAGGCAGGCCCCGGCCCUGCUGAGCUCCCACGGGGACCUGGCACCUCCUGAUACCGGAAUGGGAGACUCGGCCAACUCGGACCUGACCCGGGUAGGCAGUGCCCUCCCCCACCGCCCUCUCCUGUCCCCCACGAGUGGGAUCCAUCUCAACAACACGGACCCUCAGCAUCCACAGCCGUCUCCCAGUGCCAUCUGGCCUCAGAUGCACCUACCUGAUGGGAGAGCCCAGCCAGGGUCCCCUGAGUCAAGUGGCCAACCCAAAGGAGUGUUUGGGGAGCAGUUCGAUGCCAAGAACAAGCUGACAUGCCCCAUCUGCCUGAAGGAGUUCAAGAGCCUGCCCGCCCUCAAUGGCCACAUGCGGUCCCACGGGGGAAUGAGGGCCUCCCCCAGCCUCAAACAGGUUAGCAGGCACCCCACCCCACCCCCGUCCCGUCCCGUCCUUCCCAGGCCAUGUGCUGCUUGCUUUGCUUUGCCGCCAUCAGACACGGGUGACACAGAGGAAUGUGAGACUGAAAAGCCUAUACUAGGACACUGGGAGAAGCCAGGCCUGAAGCCCCCUCUUCCCUGGCCUUGUGGACAAGGGCCAAAAAUGGGUGCUAGAAAUCCUUUUAGGGAAUCCCAGUCUUCCUCCUGGAGAAGACAGCCAAAGAAAACAUGUAAAUGCAGUACCCUUUUUAACUUGUGUUGCUUGAAACCCCCCUCCCCCAGCCAUGGUCCUUGAGCCUUCAAGGUCAGCAGUUGGUGACCAAGGAAAGCACAAGUAACCGACAGGCUCUCGGCCAGAACCCUCUGCUCACUAUUGUGAUGGUGUUCAGCUGCAACAUCCAGCGUCCCUUAAUCACUCUGGAUUAUCCAGGGCAGCUGUCCAGGUAGCAAACUGUCCAUGAGUUUUUGAGUUAGAUUAAAAUUCUCAGAAUUCCUUGCACAUUGUUGAUCCUAAUCUAAAUCUAAGGGAUUAACUCUGUCCACCAAAAUCUUGGAUUACCUGGAUCUCUCCAUCUCCUGGCCAUGCCAGAUCAAAGAGCUUUGUCUUCAUUUCAAACAAACAAACAAACAAAAUAUGAUUUGCAUUUUCAGUGUGGUUUCUUAACCUGGAUAAAAUUGAGGAUGGAAACCAGGCAUAGUAGUGCACACUUAUAAUGUCAGCACUCUGAGAGGCUGAGGCAGGAGGAUUGCGAACUGGAGCCUAGGAUAGGCAAUUAGUGACUUAGUGAGACCCUGACUCAAAAUAAAAAAUAAAAAAGGCUGGGGAUGUAGCUCAGUGCAAAAGCCCUGGGUUCAAUCCCAGUACCAGAAAAAAAAAUUAGAAUGGAAUGCCUAAUUCCAUUCGAUGCAUGUGUGAACUGAGGCCCACAGAAUUAGAAGGUCCUACAUAAGAUCACACACUUUAUCUUGACAGACUAUAAGUCCAUGUCCUUUUCUUUCGAAACAAUGACAACUCCAAAUUUUAAAAAUAUUUCAAUAUGUAAGUGAUACAUGGUCAAGAUGCGUCCAUGAGGAAACAGAACGCAUGGCCUUGUCUACAACCCAUCAGCACCACUCAGGAUGGGGACCCAGGUUACAGGAAGGAUGUCACCGGCAGUGGUUCUCUGUCACCCACGCCUGAUGUCCUGCAACCUUUCAGGAAAAGCGAAAUGCAUUCCCCUCGGGAGAGCUGCGCUCAGCCCAGGGUCAAAGCUUUCAUUGUCUGUGUAGGAGGAAGGAGAGAAGGCCCCGCCGCCUCAGCCCCAGCCUCAGCCCCAGCAGCCACUGCCGCCUCCACCUCCGCCUCCGCCGCAGCUCCCUCCCGAGGCAGAAAGCCUCACACCUAUGGUCAUGCCCGUGUCUGUCCCUGUCAAGCUUCUCCCGCCCAAGCCCAGCUCUCAGGGGUUCGCCAACAGCAUCGCUGCCGCCCCCUCCGCCAGAGACAAGCCGGCCAGCUCUGCAUCGGAUGACGAGAUGCCUGUGCUCGUGAGGAUGACCCUCUCUCCCCCACACUCUCCCCAAGGGGCUGCCCCCCGCGCUCCCGCUGUGAGUCGCUGCUCUGCCCCCCUGCCUGGGGCGGGGACAUCCCUUUGCUUUCUCAGAGAUAGGGACAGUUCUUCCAGGGUCACUGGCCAGAGCUCAGCCAUGGCCCAGCCCCCUUGGCCACCUGUCCACUGCCUGCUGCAUUCUGGUUACUCUUGCAGGCUGAUGGCUUGGCUUGGAUUCUGGACACCUCGUGGUGUCCCCAGGUUAGGACAGAGGAUGGCUCAGCCAGCUGUCACUGAUUCAGCCAUACCAGUGAUUCAGAUGCGGAAGUACUUCUGCUCCGGACAUGAACAGCCAUUGCCCAGGGUUCCCUAGGACCUCCAGGCCCCUUCAAACAUGGCCAUCAAACAGGUCACCCCGGCAAAGUGAUGUUUAUCACUCAUUGUUAAAUUCUUCUUCCUUGCCUGACUGCCCAUCUCACCCCACUCUGCCCUUCCCCGGGGAACCUGUGCCUGCAUGGUGGGCUGUAUCAGACUCAUCCCACCCCACAGCCUCCCGUUUCGAUCUUGUUUGUCCUUAGAGAAGAGGCGGCGUAAGGGAAAGUGUGGGCCAGAAGAGGCCAGGGAGGAUGAUUAAGAGAACCAGAAAAGUCAGGAAGAACCAUUUUGGUUCCUGUUGCUAUCAAGGACUCAGAAAAGGAGAGACUGAUGGGAACCUGGAGAGGAAGAGUCUCACGAGCUGGCAGGAGACCAGUGACAGACAGAGAGGAGCCCACAUGCCCAGGUCCCCCUCGGCCCAGGGUGGCGCCUGAUGUCCUAGGAGGAACAGUGUCUGCCCCGGGAGAACUCUCAAUCAGAGUUCCUAGUCAUGCAGGGCCACAGCCCAGGCAGCACACACCCCGCCCCAGACACUCAGGGUGGUAAGAGAAAGAUGAGAGCAGAGGAAAGAGAGAGGAGAGGAUCUAGAAAGAACCCUUGAAUUCUAGCCUCAGCUGUGCCCCUAGCCAGGUGGGACGAAGACAGCUGAGAUGCUCCCCCCUCCAGCCUCCCUUUCCUCCCUUUCCCUGAGGCCUGGACUCCUCUGUGGUGGGAGCUGUAAAGGGCUCGACUCCUGGCCCGGCCCCAGAGUCUAGCUGCCCCCUGGGGAGACCCUAUGAUGGCACCUGUCCCGUGGACAUUCGGAGUGCUGUCUGCCCAGGUAGCUCACAGCCUCACCAGCAGGAUCAGGCAAUCUUGUGAGGAGCUGGAGGAACAGGACUCAAGGGCACAGGAGGGAGAGCCCAGAGGGGCUGUGGCCCCUGGGCUUAGCAGUCAAGUUUGCAGGACACAGGAUCCUGUGAGGCACCUGUGCCUGGAUGGCCAUCAGGGACCUGGAGCAGCUUAACUUUAAGGGCUGCACCCUACAGGGCAUUGCCUCCUUCCCCCACCUCGGCUUCUCCCCCACCUCGGCCUCUCUUCCCCACCUCGGCCUCUCCCACUUCAGCCUCUCUUCCCCACUUCGGCCUCUCCCACCUCUGCCUCUCUCUCCACCACAAGGGCCCUGAGCUGCGGGCCUCAGGUGGGCGUCACGUGGGUAUGUGUGCUGUCACGUGGCCGCCCUUCCCGUCGACCCCCGCGAGGCCCCUGGCUGAGCAGCACACUGACCCAGUGUCCCGUGGCCUCAGCAGCGCCCCUGCGUGUCUUGGUGUCUGUCACGCGCGAGGCAGGUGUCACCAGACCAAGUGGUGACAGGGAGGCAACCGAGAGGUGCGGGCCCACACUAGGAUCCCUGUGCCUUUCCAAGGGCGCGGGUCCCCUCAGCGGGGCUCCUGUCACUCAGGUGUGGCGACAGUAGAGGAACCCAAAGCCGCGCCCCAAACCCGGGCGGGGCGGGGGGCGGCUCUGUUCCCACCCGAACCCUGGGGACAGCGGCCCCGUGGAACCCG